CCUCACCAAAUCCCGGAGGGUUCCUGUGAAUGGCUGUGUACCGGCGGGAUGGAACACAAACACACCCUUUGCCAGACAAACACCAGGGAAACAGCGGUGGCUUUACCCCCACAUAUUGCCUCAGCUGCCUCAUGAGAACAGAGAACCUAAUUAAUUGUACUGCAUGCUCAAUCCACUUGAACGUAAUAUUUAGAGAAUGUGAACUCAUCAAGCGGCUAUAGAUUAUCCCUGCUCCAGUAUGCCGAUGUAAGCCGUUCGCAAUCCAGAGAAGAGGACUGGGUCGAUAAGGAAUGCUACAGUCCAGGCAUCAUUAUUGGCUUGGGUGACAGAAUACCAAAGACGGGUCCCUGGACUUUCCUCCUUCACGGCUUCCACUACCAGCUUAACCCAACAACUUCCUCCUCCUUUCACCCUCUUUCUCACAUCAAUGCAUCCUCAACGUUCAAUACUUCCCUAAUACAAUAAAAAUGUUAAUCACA